UGAACACUGUAGGAGCCCAGGAAGUCGGUUCUGAGUGUUGAAUGGGUGACAUAUAUCUGGGACCAAGUACUGUGAGUCAGGGCUGAAGACUGUUUUCACAGAUGCCAUCGGGACACAGUCACUCAUUCUUGACCUUCUGAUACCUCCAUCAUGCUAAGAAGACGCUGGCAUGGCUGGAGGAUUCCUAUAAUUUAAAACUGUGAUUUUUACCAUCUCCUCACUCUCCACAGAGGUCAAGAGGCUAGAUAAACAACUUCCUACAGCUGCUACGACAUCGGGUGCGCAUCCGCAGCAGAAAGUGUGUGCCGUGGAGAUAAACACAUCAGGUACCCAUGUGUCUUCACCCUGAAGAUCUGGAAAUUAAUGCUUUAGUCAGAGUCAACUCCUCCUCCUUCCCUUUCACAGUUUUUAUGAUGCUGCCAGAAGUCUUCUCCCAUUUGCCUCAACUCAGUCUUCAGGGAAUCCCUCACUGCUCUCUGAAAGAUCUGGGAGAAUUGGAUGUAGAGUCCAGCCUGCCAUGAGUGUCCUACCAAGGCCUUUGCUUCUAAAGCAUGCUGAAGUUCCAGGCUCCUGCCAACAGUUUGCUUUAUUUCUGCUCAGUGAGAAUAAACGUCUGUUACACGGGUUCUCAGACAGACACAUCUUGUACUAAAUUCUACUCCUUAUAUCAGUUUCCACUGUGCAUCUGUUGUUAUCUUCUUCUCUCAAGACCAACCCAGACUACCACCAAGAUGAGCCUUUUGGGCUCAUACCCACGGUCUGCAAAGUGUAAUAAAUAUGUGAUGUGUAUGUAA
rnacentral:lncRNA from 1 species